CUUCAGCGCCCCGAGCCACAGCGGCCGCUCCACAGGCCGGUCCUGACCGUAGACGGCCAGCAGCGCCUGCGCCUC
rfam:Streptomyces sp. Root264 contig_6, whole genome shotgun sequence.